UAAUGUAAGCUAGAGACAAAAAAUGUUUUUUCAAAUUAUUGCAGAUCUCUCCCACAUUUUUCAAUGUAUUAUUGAAAAAAAUCUACUUAUAAGUGGACCUACAGAGUUUAAACCCGUGUUGCUCAAGAGUCAACUGUAAGCAAUUACUGCAGAGAAUUUUAGUAAUAUCAAUUAUCAUGGUGAGGUUUCCAGAAGAGAAUAGUUUUAAGAAUUGGAACGGUAAUAUUUUGGCCCUGGAGAAGACUUAGAGGUCACUAAAUCAUCUGAACUUUCAGCCACUGAACUCAUGUAUCCUCUCUGUAACAUCCUAGAUAGGUCUGAGAUGGAAGUGUCUGGAAUUACUGUUUCAUUUUACUAAGCUAUGCUUCGUCAUUCAUAAUGUAAAUCAUUUGAUCUUUUCCAUUGAGAGUCAAAAGUAUCCUUAAGGGUGACUAAUACUGAGUUGGCUUGGGAGUCCUGGAGAAUGCUAGAGCCCUUCUCAGCUUCUUAGAUGCCCUUUCUCUUGGAUGCUAAACUAUUGUUUACUGUGCUUACUGAAGUUGGCGUAGGCACAAAACUCUUCAAAAUGAUCCAUUUUUCAAAUAUACAAUGGCUAUACGAGUUUUUCAAUGCACUUUGGAUAGAGCUAUGGUAACAUGUCAUCACUCAAAGCAUUAACAUUAGUCCAGUAAUAUCUCAAAUUGUAUAUUACACAAAACAUUUCUGUAAGUACCUAGGUUUAUAAAAUGUUUGUAUUUCAGUGAACUUGUCAGUUAAGAAGGGGUGAAAUUAUUAACCUAGUUUUACAGAUAAGGACUUUAACGCUGGGAGGAAAUUUGAUUUUCCCAUUUAUUGGUAAAGUUAGAACUAGAAUCUAAAUUCCUGAUUCUGUUAGCUCAUUCUGCUGUCUUUUCCAUGCUCACUGUGUAAAAACAAGUGGGCAUGCCAUGGCAGCUAGUGAGGCAUCGGUGUUCUUCUGCUCAUGCCUUUUGCUCUGAUGAAGCAUUCAGUUGAAAAAACAGUCCUUAUUUUCAUACUUAGAUUUUACAGGAAGUUUCAUUUGAAAUUGUUUUGAAUGAAAGAUAAUCUAGCCAAUUUCUUAAUUGCAUUCCAUUCCUAUGGUUUAGAAACAAUGUUGUUGCAUUUAUAAGGAAUGUAUAUAGCCCAAAUAUACAAAAGUGAAUUCAAAUUGUGUUGGAUUUUGAUUAUUUUAGUAUACUAGUUUAUCAUAACUUAGCUAUCUGUAGAGAACAGUUGGCCUUUUAUUAUAGUGUCCCCUCCAGCUCCAUCCCUGCUAAAAUUAAGUGGAAAGGAUUCUAAUUAUAUAGUCUCGUUUUUGGGAAAAUUGGGAAGGCAAGGUAGAAAUCUAAAUGAUGCAUGUUACUCUUAGAGCUAGGAAACUAGAGCCAGGUCUCAUGGCACUCUAAUUAAAACUUUUAUUUCUGCAGAUUUAUUCUGUGGUCCUUACUGAACAGAUCUGCCUUGGGUUUCUGCUGGUGAGUUUUUCAGCAGGAAUGUGGGCUUUGUUUCUUUGAAUAGUUGAGUGCAGAUUAGUGGUAUGCCAAUUUCCUGUGGCCUUUCAGAGCUGCAAUUUGAGCCCUGUUUGCUCCUGGCCCUUGCACAAUUGAAAACAAUGGGUGACUUCUUUAAGGUUUCACUUCAGGGCUCUUGGAAACAGGGGAAGUGGCUAAAGCCCUACUUUACAGGUAAUUAACAAUAGAUAAUGUUUGCUCUGCAUUUUUCAGAGCCGAUAAAAGGUAGAAGAACAUAUUCAGCUCCUGAUUUAGACACUGUGCAGUGGUUUUAUGGAUACAAUAGCUGUCUUAGCAUUAGCAAGGUGGCAUUGAAUAUCUGGGUCACAUAUAUGAGUUCAAAACCUUUAAAGCACAGGAAGAGAAAACAAUAUUAAAACAGUGAUGGCUAACAAAAAAAGGACUACUUUUAGGGAUGCUAGAUAAACUGUGUCACUUUAAGCCAUGCAUUUGUGCUCAGGGUGCAUUUAUUAUAUCUAUAUAUGCUUUAUGAAGUGAGUUUUCAUAACUUGAUACUUAUUUAAUAUAUUUUUUAUGUUCUUAAAUUCAACUCUAGAAUCUACCUGUUCAUUACAAUAAUUCCAGCUUAAGUUAUUAUUUGCCAUAUCUAGUUAUUAGCUAUAAAUAUUCUUAUGAAAUGGUCUUACAUAGUUAACAUGUGGGAAAUAGUGUAUCUUGUCCUUUUAUUGUUUAUUUGGUAGUGAUAGGGUUUUUGUUUUAAUACUGUGAAUAAAUAAUAUUUUUUUAGACUUCCUUUCUCUCUGAAACAUACUAUAUCCACUUUGGGAUAAGGUAGGUUUGUAGCAGAACUGACAGACUAAUUGAUUUAUUCAGUCUUCAACAAUUAUAAAAUACUCUGUCCCACAUAGUGAUCAAAGCACUAAGGACAGAAAAAUGAAGAGGGGCCCUGUCCUUAAGGAGAUUAUGGCAAUCUUUCACAGCACAGUUGUCAGAAAAGGUGGAAGCUUCUCUGGAAAAAAGACACUUUUUGAAUCGUAAGUGAAGUAACUUCUUCAGAGUACAGCAUUCCCCCACGAAAACUCUGGCAUUUUUCUUCUUUUCCGAUGAAAGAUCUCAUUUGCUGAAACAACUGAUGCACUUGGGAAGAAGUGAUAGCCCUACUUUGAUUUCAUUUAAUUGACCUUUUACAAUGACUCCUAGACAGGAAGAAGACGGCCAUCUGUGAGCUAGGAAGUGGGCUCUUACCAAACAUCCAAUCUGCUGGUGCCUUUAUUUUGGACAUCCCAGUCUCCAGAACUGUUUCUGGUUUCUCCACCCAGUCACCCUACACUCCUCCACUCCCGGCACCCCGUCCUUCCGUCCUCCACCCAGACUCUCAGAGGCCCGACAUUCCAGGUAACCCGACUCCGCAGACACGGAGGCCCACGUGACCCGCCCCGCCCGCCGCGUGAGCGCCCGCCGCCUUCCGGAAACCUGGGGCAGACACUAGAGAGAUCACUUGCCACAGGGCACACGGUGUGCUGACAGUCAGACUGCUCCUAAGGUCUGGUUGGACUCGAAGGGAAUGAGCGGCAUUUGCAAUCCCAAGUCUUUUUAACACCCAGUGAAGGUCCAAACUCUGAAAUUUCAUCUUGUGUGUGGGAACAAGCGUCUUCUGCCGUGAAUGAACUGCUCAGCGACCUCAGUGUGUGAUUCUCUUGUUCUUUAUGCCCCCGGAUUGAUGAGGCCAGGAACUCUUGUCAAGUGAUCAACCUUUGGUUCCUUGGGAAAAUGGACCUCCACACAAAGUCACCUGAGAUUUGGAUGGAAAUGCUCCUGAAGAGAAGGCUUCUGUCUCCAGCAAUGUGAGCCCUAAAACCUUUGAAGGAAAUGAUAAUAUUCCACUUCCUUCUGUGUACUUUAUUGCUUUGUAUAAAUAUGUGAAAAGUGGCAUUUUCAGCUGUAAGGUCCCACAUCCAGAUCAUUUUGAAGCAAAGUCGAAACAUCAUAUCACUUCAUCUGUAAAUAUUUCAGUAUGUGCCUAAAAG